AACUAUUAUCCGAGGAAAGAGGUUAUAUCAAGUGUUCCUCGGAAUUUCUUCGGUAUUUCUUAAAAAAAAAAAAAAAUAAGUUCAAUGGUAGUCUGUUUCCGAGUCAUCAUCACCAGAUGAAUCUGAAUCUGGAUCUUGGUGAAACUCUCCAAUCACUGGUUCAUCCUCUACGUGAAAGACGGCUUCCUCUCCAAAGUCGGUUAAAUCGACUACAAGGCCAACUCCACCUAAAUCUUCUGCUGCACUACAGUUGCCGGAUGUGCUUAGUUGUAGUGGGUCUUCCAGCUCAGAACUUCCCUGAACUCGGCCUCUCGG
rnacentral:lncRNA from 1 species